ACUCAAAGGAAUAGACGGGGGCCCGCACAAGCAGCGGAGCAUGUGGUUUAAUUCGAAGCAACGCGAAGAACCUUACCAAGACUUGACAUCGUAUGACCGCUAUAGAAAUAUGGUUUUCGACCCGCAAGGGAAGACAUAUAGACAGGUGGUGCAUGGUUGUCGUCAGCUCGUGUCGUGAGAUGUUGGGUUAAGUCCCGCAACGAGCGCAACCCUUGUGAAUAGUUGCCAAUAUUAAGUUAGGAACUCUAUUCAGACUGCCGUGGAUAACACGGAGGAAGGUGGGGAUGACGUCAAAUCAUCAUGCCCCUUACGUCUUGGGCUACACACGUGCUACAAUGGCUGCUACAAAGAGUCGCGAAACAGUAAUGUCGAGCCAAUCUCAAAAAAGCAGUCUCAGUUCGGAUUGUGGGCUGCAACCCGCCCACAUGAAGUAGGAGUUGCUAGUAAUCCCGAAUCAGCACGUCGGGGUGAAUGCGUUCCCGGGCCUUGUACACACCGCCCGU
rnacentral:rRNA from 1 species